rnacentral:tmRNA from 1 species
GGGGGCGACUGGUUUCGACGCGCCUGCUGAAAACCGGAUCGCGCGCCGAGGUCCCCGGUUGGCCUCGUUAAUCCACCGGGAAAAACACAAAAGCCAACGACGAAUUGGCCCUCGCGGCGUAAUUAACCGCCACGACGUCCGCCCCCUCCUGCCUGCGGAGGGACGCGGGCGACAUCCGCAGGCUGGCCACCGACGCCGGGCGCCCGGACGUCGGAGCGAGAACCAACAGGACGCUGGCCCGUCGUCAGGACUGUCCGUGGUCACGACGCCGGGCGAGACCUAAAUCACGGAACACGCGCGUAGACAUCCGGGGGCCACAUCCGCGGACGGGAGUUCGAUUCUCCCCGCCUCCACCA